UGUAGUCCACGCUGUAAACGAUGGAUGCUAGAUGUCGGCCCUUAACCGGUUCGGUGUCGAAGUUAACGCGAUAAGCAUCCCGCCUGGUGAGUACGUCGCAAGGCUGAAACUCAAAGGAAUUGACGGGGGCCCGCACAAGCGGUGGAGUAUGUGGUUUAAGUCGAUGCAACGCGAAGAACCUUACCUGGACGUUGACAUCCUGAGAAUCAUCUCGAAAUAGACGAGUGCCCUUCGAGGAAUUCCGUGACAGGUGCUGCAUGGCUGUCGUCAGCUCGUGCCGUGAGGUGUUGGCUUAAGUCCCGCAACGAGCGCAACCCCUAGUUGCGUAGUUGCCAUCACAUAAUGGUGGGCACUCAUAGUGAGACUGCCCGGGUCAACCGGGAGGAAGGUGGCGACGACGUCAAGUCAUCAUGGCCCUUACGUCCAGGGCUACACACGUACUACAAUGGUGGAUACAGAGGGUCGCGAACCCGCGAGGUCGAGCCAAUCCCAGAAAAUCCAUCCCAGUCCGGAUCGCAGUCUGCAACUCGACUGUGUGAAGUUGGAAUCGCUAGUAAUCCCAGAUCAGCAUGCUGGGGUGAAUACGUUCCCGGGCGUUGUACACACCGCCCGUCACACCACGAAAGCUGGUUCUACCCAAAAUCGACGGAGUACACCUUCGUGA
rnacentral:rRNA from 1 species